AGGAUGGUCUAAGUAUAAGCACUCUUGUACCGUGAAACUGCGAAUGGCUCAUUAAAUCAGUUAUCGUUUAUUUGAUAGUACCCUACUACAUGGAUACCUGUGGUAAUUCUAGAGCUAAUACAUGCGCAAAACCCCGACUUCGGAAGGGGUGUAUUUAUUAGAUAAAAAACCAAUGCCCCUCGGGGCUCCUUGGUGAUUCAUAAUAACUUCACGAAUCGCAUGGCCUUGCGCCGGCGAUGGUUCAUUCAAAUUUCUGCCCUAUCAACUUUCGAUGGUAGGAUAGUGGCCUACCAUGGUGGCAACGGGUAACGGGGAAUUAGGGUUCGAUUCCGGAGAGGGAGCCUGAGAAACGGCUACCACAUCCAAGGAAGGCAGCAGGCGCGCAAAUUACCCAAUCCCGAUACGGGGAGGUAGUGACAAUAAAUACUGAUACAGGGCUCUUUUGGGUCUUGUAAUUGGAAUGAGAACAAUCUAAAUCCCUUAACGAGGAACAAUUGGAGGGCAAGUCUGGUGCCAG
rnacentral:rRNA from 1 species